CUUCUUCUCCUUCAGCCAUCUUAGGAGGAAUAUUUUCCUUCCCUGCAGUCUCCAUUUUAUGGUUCUGACGCAGAAAAUAAGCAGAUGCACUUGGGGCUUAGAGGGCUCUCUCUGGAAGGGAUGAUGACUCUGCCCUUGCUGAUGAUUCUUGUGGAAGCAUCUCCUGUGCCCAGAUGAAAACCCCCAGCUCUCCCAGCCUGGCUGCAGAGCAGAGGGUCUCCAGCCCUGGGAGCAUCUCCAUGGCAUUCUCUGGAGUCCCUCCAACAGCUCCAUACCCUUCUGAUGCUGCGACCCCCAGAACUGGAUGCAGUGCUGCAGUGUCUGCUGAGAACUUGAGGAAAAGCUUAAACAGGACAAAAGGACAGAUUUUGAGUGUGCAGUGGAAUAUUCUGAACUUCCCGGCUGACACAGAUCAGAUAAGAGUGACAAAUCUGGGGGGGGAAUUGACAAUAUCCUUCUGCUUUUAGGAAGAAAAAUACUUCACAGUGGAUGUGAGCUGUGGUAGAAGGGAUUCAUGGGUCUCAGUAAAGUUUGGAAAGAGAAUAGAAGGGUCUGUUAUGUGGGGAAAAGACAUUUCUGGUGUGGUAUGGACCAUGGAAUGUUCCUCUACAGCUGAGGGGGGUGGGGAGGGGGAUCUCACAGUGCUGCAGAGAUGCUGUUUGCCAUCCACAGGGAAUUCUGUCGUUCUGAGCCUCUUCGACAGCUUUGUGCAAAGGGAUCACUGCUCUGUUUAGUUGUCAUCUAAAAAUGAGUUGCCUGACUGCAUUCCUGGAGUUUCUGGACUGCUUGGAGCCUGGUGGUUUGCUGGCAGUGCUGUGGGAUUGCCAAGGAGUGCUCUGAGUGUCUCGGUGUUGCAGUGUUCUGAUGGACUUUGAGCAGUCAGGGCUCUACCACGGAAUCUUGGAAUCCCAGGAUCAUUGAGGCUGGAAAAGCCCUCCCAGCCCGUGGAUCCCCCCUGAGCCCCAUCCCCACCCUGUCCCCAGCCCAGAGCACUGAGUGCCACGGACAGUCCUUCCUUGGACACCUCCAGGGAUGGGGACUCCAAACCUCCCUGGGCAGCCCCUGCCACUGCCUGACCACCCUUUCCAGGAGAAAUUCCUCCUGGUGUCCAACCUGAACCUCCCCUGGCACAGUUUGAGGCUGUUUCCCCUUGUCCACCCUCGACACUGGAGGUGUAAGUGUCACCCAGGCACUGAGUGGGUUGGGCUGGGUCCAUCUCAGCAUUAUGGUCUGCUGAAACCUCUGAGUGGGGAGGAACCACGGAGGGGGUGGAAUGUUGCAGUCUGACAUUCCUCUGGUGUUUUCCACUUCAUGUUUGGGUUAUGGUCAUUGACUUUUGGGUUCUACAGCUUUAAGGAUGCCAAGAUACAGUGUGAGAAGCUGCAAAGGAUGUACUCAAACCAGAGCAUCUUCAACUACACCAGAGCCCCACUGCUCAGCUCUGCCCUGCUCCUCACCCUCCCCCUUCCAAGGGAGGACUUUAAACACUUUUGUGUGGGUUUUUUCCCCCUCUCACCCCUCCUGCAGCCCCACAGCAGCUGUCUCUCCUGUCCUGCAGAAGCUGCCGUGGAGAACCAGGAGCAGCAUGAAACAGAAUCUGCUCUGUGAGGGUGGUGAGGGAGGAGGCAGAGGAGAAGUCCCAGGAGUGAGAGCAGCAGGGAACAGGCACAAAGGCAGGUAUGGGAUGAAAUGGGUGUUUGGGGCAGCAGAAAGUUUGGUCUGGGUGCAAAGCCCUAGAAGUAGCAUGUGGAGCUACAGAAGAAGAGAGAAAUGCUCUGGAGCUGGAUUCCCAGGGAUGGAGGCUUGGGACAGCAAAAGUGGUGUUGCAAUUUACUGAGAACAGCAGAGUCCUGAGAGCAGCAAUUUGCAGGUUAGCCUGAGGAGUUUUACAUGCAGCUGAGGGACAGCUCACAGCAAACCCACCUUCAGCGAUGUGCAAAGCCUGUUAGGUACAGAGAACCUUCUUAAACCUGGGGGUCUUCCCGAGAGGCUUUUUGGCUGUGUGAAAUUCAGCAAUUUGCAGGACACACCAAAGCCUGUGCACCCAUUCAGCACUGUAUUCCUGUGCUCCAUCCCCUCCCUUGGCUUCUUGGGAGGCUCAGGGGGCUGUUGACACCAGAGCUCUUCUCCCCCUUCCCAAGCCAUGAUGCUGUGCCAGACUCCUCUAUUCCAACCACAUGCGUUUCAGAUUUCUUUGCAAAUGUGUUUUAAAAGGGAGGAGGAGGGGGAGGGAGGCCAUAAAUAUUUUUAUGAGCUUUCCCAGCCCUGGAGCCUGAACCUGGGAAUACCUAAAUGAACCUGGGGAAUCCUCUGUGCAGUCCUCUGUGGGAUUGGCUCUGUGGGACAGCCUUGGGAUGACUGUGCAGCCCCAGGUUCCUCUUUCAUCCCCUUGACUGUGCCCUUACCUCUGAGUCAAUCCUGCAUUAGCAGCUACUCCUGCACCAAAGCUGUGUUGCUUUUGGGGAGCAGAAGGACCUGAUAUUCCUCCUGCCCAUGUUUUCAUGUUGUCCACUUUCCUUCCCAGCUCCAGACAUGCUCAGGGACAUGGAUGUAGAUCAAACUCUGUCACUUUGUGAUAGAACAGCCAUUUCCUUCACCUUUUUGCAACAUCACCCAUGAAAUUAAGGAUAUUAAUGAGCUUAAGUUUGGAAGCCUCCUGAGCCUGUAGCUACUACAGGCACAGACCUGCAACGAGAGACCAGUGACCCCUCCCAGCAGUUGUGGUUGGUCUGAAUUCAACCUUCUGCUUGGUGCAGGAGGUUAAUGUGGCUCUGCAUGUCCUGUGCUGUCCCCACAGCGUGGGCCUUCUCCCUUUGCCUGCUCCCUGCUACCAGAUGCAUUCUUUGCUUCCAACAUAUGGACUCAAUUACUGUCCCUCUCCCUUGAUUUCCUGCCUCUCUGGGUUUCCUGAAACGCAUCCUCUCCUCCUGGCAGCCCCAGCUCCCGCAGUGAGACACUUUGCAAGCCCUCACAUUCCUCCCUCCCUCCCUCCUGCUGCUUUGCUGCCUCUGACAAAGGGGUCCUGCUCCAGAGCACGCACAGAUAAGGCUGCAGACCCCCACGUUGCUGUCCCUGAGCCCAGGAACCCCAAGGGCUUGGCUCUCCACAGCAAAAAUAAAUGCCUGCCCAGUGUCUGGCAGGGCUGUUUCCCAGCUCCCCUGGACAGAGGUCCCCACCCUGCUCAGCAUCCAUCCUACAUCACCCUGUAGCUCUCAGCCAGCUGCUUUAGUUGCAAGACACAGGUUUCUUCUUUUUUGUUGUGUUUUUUUUUCCAUUCCCUUCUGAGGCUGGGGGCUUUCCAAGGCUCUGUGCUUUGAAAGGAGUAUCAAACCACUCUGGAUUUCCCCUGGGUGCUGUUUGGCAUCUUUCCUGGGCAUUUACCCCUGCAAAAAAAGCCCUGUGCCCGUGGCUCCUGCUUUAAAAGCUUUGGAGGAGGGGGGAAGGAGCCCUGCCUUCUCCAUUAGGGGUUCUCUCAGCCCUUUCUGCUGCUGGGGGGGAGUCCCAGGCACUGCAGCACCGGGGUGCUGGAAAUCCUGAGGAAUCUGUGAGCUUAUUCAGGGGGCAGGAGGAGGUGGAAAUGGUUAAAUCACACAAAGGAGCCAGUUAAUGAUUCCCAUCCCCUUGCUGGCAUGUUUCAGGAUUUGGAAGGGGUCUGGCCAGCAGCUGUGCCAGCAUUUGUAGCUCAAAAAGAGCAUUUUCUUUCUGUGUCAGCUUUCAUCCAUGGCCCCUUUGGAUUCCCCUGGUUCCUGCAGAUACCAGAGUUUUUCCAGGGCUCCUGCUGCUGCAGAUCCCUGUGACUUUUCCCUCCCAUACCCAGGGAUGGAGUUAGAUGGGGAGGGGGGUGAAGAAGGCACAGCUUCCUCCCUGCUUUCUUCCUGUCCCAUCCUUCCCCGAGCAGAGGAGAGGCUUUUUCCCAGGAUCCAAAUGACUUGGCAGCACUUGUGAAUGGAAGGAAAAGCUGAAGAGCUGCACUUCUGAACCCAGGAGUGCAGGGGAGCAAUUUGGGAUGCAUCGUCUGCAUCUGAGCAGUCCCACAGUCACGUUCAGCUGCAGGAGCCUCAUUGUGUAACAAGAUUUAUAUGUUGUAUAUGUGUGCCUUUUAUAGAUAUUGUGUACUGUGUAAUAAGCUGUGUUAUAACAAGCCUGGACACUGUGCCCAGGUUCUCUCUCUAAGGUCACUGAGCCCCAGGACACAGGAAUAGGUUGUCCCUGUGCUGUUGUCUCAGCUUCCCUCAAGGAUGGUGCCUGUUCUCUCCUGGACUGCCCCCCCUUGGAAUUGGAACAGGCAGGCCGGGGAAGUGGUGGUGUCACCAUUCCUGGGAGUGUUCAAAAACUCUGGAUGUGGCACUAGAGAACACGGUUUAGUGGUGACUACAGUGGUGCUGGGUUUAUGACCUGAGAAGUCUUUUCAAACCUGAAUGAUUCUGGGAUCACCUCAAAUGUAGCACCUCCCCAACUUCCUCCUCUCCUUCUCCUGGUGUCUUUUUCUUAUUGCAGGCAGUGGUGGAAGGAAGGAGAGGGAAAAGCCCAAAUUUCUCAGUUCAGAUAUAAAGGGUGUUUAAAAAUCCUUGAUUUUUUAAAUCAAUCACUAAAUCUGGAGGGAAGUGAAUGAAGCACAGAGGUGAGGUAGGAACCCUAAUUAUCCAAGACACAGCAUCCUUCCUCAGCCUUCCAGACACCUUCUCUGGCUUGGGAUGAGUUCAGCCUAAAAUUCCCCAUUGGGCCACUGCCCUGUCUCAUCCUCAGAGACCCUUUGCAGCCACCCAGAGCCUCCCCAAGCAGAGGGGUCAGUGUAAAACUCUCAAAAGCCCUACUGCAUGUCACUGCUGUCACUCAAACCUGCCCCCAAAGAUUUGAGACCCCCUCUGUGAGUUAAUUUGGACUGGUUUGCUCCAAGAGGAGCAUCCCUGCCAACCAAGCCCAUGGUGAGAGGUGUUGUGUCCCUCCUAAGAGCCCCCCCCCAAAGCUCUGGGGACUCGGGGGGUGUAGACCUGCCCCCUCAAUCCUUACAGCCUCCCUUCACUAGCCCAAAAGCCGCGUCUGGUAGCCAGGUUUCAUGCCCCACCCCAGCGCGCUGGAGCUGUCCCUGCUCCCCCGAGCCGGGGUUUUUGGGGUGCCGGCUGUGGGGCCGCGGGGCCGGGCUGGGGGUGCCGGCAGGUGGCAGCCUGGGCAGGCAGCAAGCGCAGUUUCUCGCAGAUGUUUAAUGGGAUUGUCGAGCUCUGGGAUUCAUCGGGAGCUGUUGUCACGGAAACGGAGAUCUGCGAGAGCCCGGGCGCUCGGAGUUAACCCCCUCAGUGCCGGGGAGGAUCGGCAGAGAGGGGAGCGAUUGGUGCCAGGAGCUCCCAAACUCCACCUGGCUUCGUAGGGGCAGCGGGAAGGUGCUGUUUUAUUUAGGACUAGGGGUUUAAUUGCCUCAUAGAAUCUGCCUCUGUGCUGUUGGAGCACAAGGCUGAGCCCCAGUGCUCCAAGGGGGAUGUUCCAUAUUCUGCCAGGGUGUCCCGGUCCUCUCGUUUUUAAGCCUGGGAGACUCCCACACGAACAAGAGGGGCCCGAUGGGUGCAGGUCUCCCGGAUUCCCAGCUUGUGGGAGGAAAAUAUCCUCCUAAUGCCUGAUCCCAACACAUCCCAUCCUACUCGGCACCUCCUCUGGGGCUGGGGCUGGACAGGAGAGGGCAUCAGAGCUGCGCUGCCACGGGGGUGGCGGCGGCACAUGUGUCACCCCCGCACGUGGCUCCCCCCGGGGUGACACCCCUGAUGCCGGGGAGGACGAGCAGCUGUGACCGGGAUAAUCUCCUUAGCGGCCUGAGCACCAGCACGGGAGUGAAAGGGAGAUUAGAGGGCAGGGGGGCAUUAGCAGCCCGGGAUGCUCAGGGGAAAGGCGCAAGGAGACAACUGGGCCAAGCAGAGAGGGAGAGGACCCUGGGGGAGAUCAGUGGAGCAGCCAGAGAGGCCUCCAAGGGCAGCAAAUAACCCAACAGCUGGGGGCUCUGAGGAAGUGAAAGACUUUAGAAAACGUGCCCAGAAAUCCUUGUGAAGCCAUCCCCCCCUUCCCUCUCCUCCCCAGGAGGAAGGCGUUGCCAGGCAGUCUGCCUCCUAAUUCAGUCCCUCCCAUCCAGAGCGGGGGAGGUGGAUGCCUUCCAACCCCCCAUCAUACCCACAGGGCAUGAAAACAUUCCCUCAAAGCAUAUUCAGACCCACUGGAUUCUACCUUGUGGAGGAACAGGACAUGGAAUAUUUAUUGUCCUUUUCCAUGAUACAAUCGGGAAAAGAUGCUGUUUUCUGUAGCAGAGCAGGGUGUGAGGCUGUUGCUCUCAAAGUCCAGAGGCUGGGCUUUGUUUCCUGUUCCUGCCACAUCAGUGUCACGGGGUUCUGUGUUUUUCUUGCUGGGGGGUAACAAGGCUGGAAUGAUGGAUGUCUUACAGGAAGCUUUGCAGUCCUGCAGCCUGUCCUGCCAGAGCAGGGGAGCAUGGCAGGGUAGUGCUGCUCACUGAGCUGUGCCUCCUCUGUGCUUCUUCCCACAGGGAGCUCCAGGGCUGGGAAGGGAUGGAAAAAACAGUACCUACUAUUACUAUUCACUGUUUGUUCCUUCCUCUCAGCUGUCAAGGAAACCAUGGCACGGUCCACAUACCCAGCUGGUAUUGCUGUGGUUGCUGACGUGGACUGUCCUUUUAAUCCAUAUCCAAAAUAGCUUCUCCACCCCUCCAUUUGUGCUGGCUCACAGAGCACCUUCCACCGUGCCAUGGUCUGUUCUCUUGCCCGGGGAUGUGGUUUGGAAUGCCAAAUUUUUCUUAGAAUCAUAAAAUCACAAAGUAGUUCAGACUAAAAAGGACCUUUAAAGGUCAUCCAGUUCCACCUCCUGCCAUGGGCAGGGACACCUUUCACUAGUCCAGGUUACUCUAAGCCCUAUCCAACCUGGCCUUGGACACUUCCAGGGAUCCAGGGGCAGCCACAGCUUCUCUGGGCAAGCUGUGCCAGGGCCUCCCCACCCUCACAGCCAAGAAUUUUUUUCCUAUAUCUAGUCUGAAUCUCCCCUCUUGGUUUAAAACCAUUUCCCUUGUCCUAUUACUACAGGUCCUACUACAAAGUCUUCCAGGCUAAGGAAGCAGAAUCCCAGUGUGAAGAGAUGUUAAAGCAGCUCUUGUGCUGCUGAAAGUGGUCCCUGCAUGGGAGAUUCUGGGUAGAGGGGUUGUGAUGAGCUCAGGGUGGAAAAGAAAGCAGAAAAAAGCGGGACCCAAAGUGGAAGCGAGGAAAGGCAGUGCCAGAUCUGUGCCACAUAAGUGACCACAAGCUGGUGACCAGGGCAGAAGAGUGGGGGAGGAAGAUCUCUGAGCCAAGUAUUUGGAAAAUGAAAACCAGAGUAGAGAUGUAGAAGAGGUGAAGAUACAACUUUUCUCUCUCACAUGCAGGAGGAGGGACAGGAGAAGCACGGAGAGAAGUCUCCAGCUGAAUUCACACAGCCUACAGUGGCAGUGGGGUGUUUGGUUCUUUUACUUGCAGAAAAGGGCAGGGAUUUAAAGUAACAUUGAGGGGCUGGAGCUUGUCUGGAGAAGGGAACAAAACUUGGGGAGGGUCUGGAGUGCAAGUCUGAUGAGAAGCAGCUGAGGGAGCUGGGGGGGCUCAGCCUGGAGAAAAGGAGGCUCAGGGGGGACCUUCUCACUCUCUACAGCUCCCUGACAGGAGAGGGGAGCCAGGGAGGUGGGGGUAUUGGGCUCUGCUCCCAGGGAACAAGCUACAGGACAAGAGGAAACGGCUGCAAGUUGUGCCAGGACAGGCUCAGGUUGGAUAUUAGGGAAAUUUCUUUACUGAAAGGGUAGUCACACUCUGGCACAGGCUGCCCAGGGCAGGGGUGGAGUCACCAUCCCUGGAAGUGUUAAAAAGUCAUGUGGGUGUGGCACCUGGGGACAUGGUUUAGUGGUGGCCUCGGCAGUGCUGGGUUAAAGGUUGGACUCGAUGAUCUCAGAGGGUUUUUCCAACCUAAACAAUUCUGUGAUUGUAACAGGCUAUUCUGCCUUCUGGCCUCAGCAGAGUCCAAGGCUAGUCCCUGGCUAGCAUAGCCUUGCUGCCCCCUCAGCAGCUUGGCCUCUGUGUGGCAGAUGUGUCUUGGUGCUGUGACACGUGGGGUGUCCCUGUCCCCCCUCCAGAGUCAGGCUCGGUGUCCGUGAGCAGCAGCCCAAACCCUGUGUGUAUGACCCUGGCACCACGUGUGCUCCUGUACAGCACCUCAUCUGUUAGUGAUGGCGUGCCCUGUGACCCACUGACAUCUCCCCGGCUUGGUUUCACCCUCCAGCCCUUUCCCAGAGGAGCACUGUGUGCUCUGCCCACGGGAAGCUCUCCUGCUGUAAUCCAAACCCUGGCUGUCACAGCCAUUCCAGACCCAGCUUCCCCUGGAGGAGGAGGAUUUCCCCUUCCACACCUGCAAAAACAAGGGGCCCUGACUCACUGCCUACAGGGUGCAAGAGCCAUGAGGACUCCACUUACAGCUUGCUCGUGGAGGUAGGAGCUGGGACAGGGGGCACCAGGCAUUAUGCCUGUCCCUGUGGGAUUUCCCUCCCCUACCCUUUGGGUUUCCUCCUCUUUUGCUCCAUUCAGAAGGUGGUUUCAGUGCAGUGCACUGUGGUCCUGUCAUGGUUGAACCCUGGUGAGCAGCUAAACACCACCAGCUGCUCAGUGACUGAACACCUGCCUGCCAAGGGGAAGUGAUAAAUGAAUUCUUUGUUUGCUUUGUUUGCAUGCUCAGCUGUUGCUUUACUUAUUAAACCACCUUUAUCUCAACCCACCCCCUUCCAGUUCUACCCCCAUCCCACUGUGAGGACUGAGGGGCUGUGUGGGGCAGAGCUGCCCCCUGGGGUUAACCCACACCAGGUCCCAACCCCCCUACUGGUUUGCUGCAUGUGUUUGCAGAGGAUCCUGCUGGACCCAGUUCUUCCCUGAGUCCUCCUCCCCAUGACCCUCCUGUCUGAUGUUCUGUGGUCCCCAGGAGCUCUGCCAGUGGGAUGUAUUGUCCUCCUCCAUCCCCAGUUGUCAGGACAUUUCUCCAUCCCCUGUCACGGAACCCCCUUCCGAGCAAAUCGGGAGCUCAACGUGUGAGCCCUGUCAGCUCUGAUCUCUGGUUCCCAUCCUGCCCAGGCAGCUGUGUCUAUUCAGCCACGAGCAGCUCUGUCCCUAGACUGUGAAGGAAUGGGAAAAGCCGCCGAGUUUCUCCUUAAAGGAGCCGUUGUCGGGAAAUGAGGUCAGGGAAAGGGGAAUGCUGAGCAGGUCACUGAGGGACCACGGCAGGGCACUCGCACAAUAGCUCAGUGUCCUCCCCCGGUCCGGCUCAGCUUUUGUCCCACCCUCAGAACUUCAGCCGAAUCAUUCAGAACUGGUUUGUGGCUGAAGUGACUCAGCCAGUGUCCUUUUGUGUCACCUCGAUGUCACAGCUUUGCCAUUUGCUCCCCGGCACACGGGGAAGUGAAGGCAGGAAAUCAAUCCCAAAUCCAUCACCGCUGGCCCGGGCAGCCACAGGAGAGAGCCAGGGCUGGGCUGCAGCGGGGGACUCUGCUUUCUGGUGCACAGAGCAGACACAUCACCCCUUGUCCCAGUCUCCCCCAGUCCCUCCCCCUUGUUCCCUGGAUGUGGGAGAGGAGAUGAUAAUGCUCGUCUCUAACCCAGGUUAGAGAUGGAAGCAGCUUGCAUCUCUGCUAGUGGGCAAAAUCAUGCUGGGACAAAAAUCCACGUAUUGUGGGGAGAAGGCAGCAAUUUCCAAAUCCUCCCAAAAUACUUUGUCAGUCCUGUACAAAGCCACUGAGAUCUCAAAGCAGAUCUGCAGGGGAUGACCAAAAAUAGCAUCUUUGGGCAGGGGGUUCCAGCCCAACAAUCCCUUGGUCGAGCCAUAAAUACUCUUUGCUUAAAAUGCUAUUAAUGUUCAGUAACUCCAGUGUUUUCCUGUCCUCCUGCUGCUGAUGGCAUGUUGAUGGAAUCUGCCUGGUUUUCCCAAGGGGUCUCUUGCAAUCUCCUAAAGAAGCUGAGCUCCCAUGGGAGGAGAGGAAGAUUUCUACGUGGCUGCAACCUGGUAUUUAACUGGCUAAAAGGCAGAAAACAAAACACAGCAGGAAGACUGAGAAUGGUAGGGAUAUUUCUGACAAUAUUUCAGUAGGAAAAACAAAUUACUGACUUGAAGGGAUCAGAGGGUCCUCACCUGGAUGCUUGGUGGCUUAUAGGACCACAAAGAUGCUCUGAGAGCUGGACCACCUCUGCUCUGGAGCCAGGCUGGGAGAGCUGGGGAUUUUCAUCUGGAGAAGAGAAGAUCCCAGGGAGACCAUAGAGCCCCUUCCAGUGCCUCAGGGGACUUGAGGAGAGGGACUUGGAGGGGCAGAACAUGGGGAAUGGCUCCACACUGCCAGAGGGCAGGGUUAGAUGGGAUAUUGGGGUGACGAGGCCCUGGCACAGGUUGCUGUGGUUGCCCCAUCCCUGGAAGUGUCCAAGGCCAGGUUGGAUGGGGCUUGGAGCAACCUGGGCUAGUGGAAGGUGUUCCUACCCAUGGCAGGGGAUGGAAAUGGAAGGUUUUUAAGGUCCUUUCCAACCCAAACCAUUCUGUGAUUUUAUGAUCUCAAAGGAUUUGUUCUACUCUCUGUGCUUUUCCCUUUUAGCUCUGUGAACACAGGGAUGAUGCUCCAAGCUGACCAUUUCCACUUGGAGCAAAACAUGGGGUGUGGGGGGGGUCAGUGCAAUGUCAGUGCUGCCCUGCAGCAGUUUAAACCCCAAAUUCCCUCUGAGAUCUAGAAAUCUCUGAGAAAGGAAGAAGAGGAGAGAAGAGCAACCACAGCAGUAGCUUUCUUUCUGUUUGAAACACAUUGUGCUGCCUGCAGCUCUGGUUCCCCUGCCUGAGGAGGGACCUCGUGAGCUAGAUCAGAUGCAGACUUAAUUCAGGAAAGGGAUGUGGAGGAGACAUGUGAAAUGAUAAACUGAAGAUGUUUUCCCCAAUUGUAAGCAAGAGCUUGAAUGGAGCUGGGAGGGGCAGCCUUAAAUGUCAAGCUGUCAUUUCACAGCCCUCCCCUUCACAGGAUGUUGCGGAUGCUUAUGGUUUACCCAGGUUAAAAAAAGCCGUGGAAUACAUUCAUGGACUAAAAAGGUGGGAGGAUAUGAGAAAAUUCACUGGUGAGAGAGAUGAGAGAGUGUCGGUGGGGGUGUGAGGGAGCAAUUAGGAGCUGCAAGGAGCGGAGGGGAAGGGAGGGAGGAAGGAAAGUAGGGAGAGAGGGAGGAAGCAGUCUGCCGGGUUCAUGCUGUGUCGGGAAGGCGCUUGGUUGGGGGGAGAGACGGGCUGUGGGAGGAGGAUGACUCUGCCCAGAGGAGCAAGAAGCUGCUGCUGCAACUUGGGGCUCAGGAGAGGAGUUGGGAGCGUGGGAGAGCCUGGAUGCAGAGUAAGCCCUGAGGGGAGAAGGGGCUGCUGGAUCAGAGGAGGGUUUGAAGAGGGAGGAGGACAAGCAGUGCAUUGAGUACAGGCUCCUGCUUCCUUUCAGCCCUGUCUAGCUUUGCCACAGCCCAGCUGGCAGCUGGGGGGACACCCCCACCCCCCUCCUUCCUGCUGCAGCCCCGAGGGGAUCCGUGCACAAAGCCUGGCAGCUCUGAAUGCUCCCUGUGUUGUCUGCACACACCAAAUGUUUCAUCUCUGCUCAGUGCCAGACCCCAAGGGCUGUGACACACCAGCAGCACCCACGCAGGGCCCACACGCUGGGGUCCAGCUCCAAAAAAAUGCCCACCCCGAGCAAGGGACACCUUGCCAGCAGAUCUCGAAGGGGAAGGGAGAUGAGGGAUGUCCAGGUUUGGAGGCUGUGGGUCCCUUCCCAGCCAGGCUGUGUGUGUGACCUGUGUGUGUCAGACCUGCUGUGCACACAGAACAAGUGCUGUCUGAGCCAUCCCCUGUGCACAGCCCACGUUUCUCUUGCUUUACUGGUUUCUGGGGUAGAGGACAGACCCAUAAGUGACGUCUCCUGCCCACUGUGCCACAACUUUAUUUGGGGCUGCAGCUGGGAGCGGGGCAGGGAGAGACAGAUGCACCAAGGAGGGGUGAGGGGGAGUUUCAGGGGUGGAGGGUAAGAGAGGGGUUCUGGGUUUGUGAUCGCUAUUUACCAGAGUCUCCAAAAAGCUUUUAAAUCCUGUACCUUGUCUCUGUACAAUUUCGUGUGCCUGCCUUUGGUGUUUCAGGAGCUGGGGAUGACAGCACAGAAGGUUUUCAGCCCUGAAGGAGUUAAUCCCUCCCUCCCGCAGCGCCUGGGCAGUAACUGGGACGCUGCUUCUUAUCCCUGAGCCGCUCCUCUCCCUUCUGCCGUCUCCUCCCAGUCGUAAAAAAUACAUCUUCGGAGGCGCUGCAGGCGGGAGAGAGGCCGUGCCGGUGCUGGCCCCGUGGCCGUGCCGGGGCUCAGCCACCACGCUCACCCCGUGCCCUCGUCACCCGAGUGUCCCGGGGCCGGCUGCCGCCCGGCAGCUGCUCUGAUUCGGGGUUAGAGCCCGGAGCGCGGCGUCACGGGCUGGAUGAGCUCCGGCUUUAAGCCACGAAGGCUUCUUAAGGGUAGACACUGUCUGUGUCUCUAGGGCAACAGAACUGGGAGGCUUACAUGGAUAAGGCUAAACUGUGGAGCAGGGGAGGGCUCGGGCAGGGCUGGGCUGUAAUCUUUGCCAGCACAGCCCUGUGAGAGCCUGGGGGCAGCAUCCUCCAUCACACCGCCUGUCCUCUCCCAUGGGAUGCACGAGGGAGGCAUGGGAGGCACAGCCUCCUGUGCUCUGGAGUGCCAUUUGGGUCACGGUGUUGCCCAGCAGGCGCUACUGUCAGAGCUACCCCUUUCCUCUUGGGUUGGGGUGAGAGCAGGUGGGUGCCUGAUCCCUUAAUGGGAUGCCUUUUGCAGCCUUGAUCCCGUGGUGAGAAUGUCCCAGCCCUGCAGCAUCCUGAGCUCCUGUGGCUCCUCCAGCCCAGUCAGCUGCAGCCCCUGAGGAAGGUGGUCUGUGCCAGAGCUGGCCUGGAGGAGCUUCUCCCCCUGCUUUUAACAUCCCCUUGUUUUCAGAAUCAAGCAAAAGACCAGCAAAGCCAGCCAGGUGACAAGAGAUGGAGGAGCAUCUGCUCAUGUUGGACAUUGCUCCUGGACAAAGGCAGAAUGCUGCUCGACCUGUGAGGGCUUUCAGUAAGUAAAAUACAGUUUCACUCUGGGAUCUGGGCAUGAUAUGGAGGAUAAUUUAUCUUCCUUCUUCCUCCUGGGACUGCUAGUGGCAAUUUUUGCAUCAUUUUAGCUCUCCUGACCCAUCUUUGGAGUAGACCCUGUAGACAGCUGAAGCCAAGGGGAGGAACAUCAUCUGUUGCUCUCACGGUGGAGCAGAUUGGGCAGAAAGGCAGGGACAGAGCAAAGCCACAGCCCUCCCUACACACAGCUCCGUGCUGGGGUGACAGUCGGGGAGCCCAGGUCUGGUCUUGCAGGGUGCUGGAUCCUGGUGGAGUUUACAGUGGGAACAGCUCUGCCCCAGCUUGUGGCUUCCAGGUGUUGAGCUGUUUUCUUGUUCUGAUUUAGCAUAUUUAUAACACUGAAGUAAGAGAGGGAUCCAUAAGAGCCCAGCAUCAUCUGGGACUGGCUUACAUCCUGGCUGUCACCACAUCCCUGAGGGAGGAGACAGGCUGAUCCCAGCCCAGGUAAGAGCUGGGGUGUCAGGAAGGUAGAGAAGGAAAUAGGGUGGCUGGGAAUGCUGGGGGGGGGAAAUAGGUAGAAAUAGGGAGGGAGAGAAGGCAGGUUGGCACCUUCCAAUCUGUGAGAGCCAGCCAGGGAGGGCUGAGCAGGCAUAGAGGUGUUGCAGCAGGGUCUGGGGGGCAUUGCUGGCGUCACCCAGCACAGGGCAGGCUCUUUCCUGUGGGAACCCCUGUGUGCCAGGGUGCUGCUGGGAGCACUGCUCCCUCCUGGAGUCCCCACUUCGCAGCUUUUCGUUUUAAUGCACUUUUCAUAGAAUCCCAGAAUGCUUUGGUUGGAAAGGACCUUAAAAACCAUCUCUUCCCAACCCUCUGUCAUGGGCAAGGACACCUUCCACUAAAGCACGUUGCUCAGAGCCUUUACAGGUGCUGGGCUGUGCUGUGCAAACCCAGUUGUGUGUGAACCGUGGAGAACAGCUGCAGAUGAGCCCUUGGGAUGAGGUGGGUGGUGCCUGUGCACAGGAGCUUUGUGCUGGAGAGAGAAAAGGGAGAAAAAGGCUGAUCUGACAGGGAAGUGUUGCUGUUUCAGCCUCACAGUCCAGGGGAGCUGUGGUUCCCCCGUUGUGGGGUGGAGCACUAGACACAAGGCUUGACUCCUUCCCACCCCCCUGGAAAAGAAUGAGGGAGUCAAAAAGGGCAGGUAGGAUAACUAAAGCAUCAGUCUCUCUGCUCUCCUGGUGCCUGGGGCAUCAGAUGGCUCCUUGUGGGGCUGUGCCAUCCUCAUUUCGGGGGGCUGGUGGGCUCUGCCAGGCUGAUUAGGGCAGGCAGGAGAUGCCAAGUGUCCAAGGCUGCUCUGAGCUACCAAAAUGUCCGGAAAUCUGCAAAUUGAAGGAGAAACUGGGAUACGUGAGCUGCAUCUGGGCCAGCCUGGAGCCUUGCCUGGGAGCUCUGUAUUUUCUUGUACCAGUUCCUUUCAUCUAAAGCCUUUUUUCAUGGCUUUGCAGCUGUGGGAGAGGGGUGCUCUGGGAGUGCUGUUUGAGAGCUUGUGUGUACAAAAGAUGGAGAAAUAAACACGAUUUU